rnacentral:tRNA from 1 species
GAAACGGUAGCUCAACGGAGGAGCGCUGAACUGCCACAUCGGAGGUUGCGUGUUCGAUUCCCGUCCGUUUCA